GCUCCGAUGGUGUAAUCGGUAACACUACUGCUCGGAAAGGGGGAGGUGCAGGUUCGAAUCCUGCCUGGAGCG